rnacentral:rRNA from 1 species
GGGCAACGCCGCGUGAGUGAAGAAGGUUUUCGGAUCGUAAAGCUCUGUUGUUGGUGAAGAAGGAUAGAGGUAGUAACUGGCCUUUAUUUGACGGUAAUCAACCAGAAAGUCACGGCUAACUACGUGCCAGCAGCCGCGGUAAUACGUAGGUGGCAAGCGUUGUCCGGAUUUAUUGGGCGUAAAGCGAGCGCAGGCGGAAGAAUAAGUCUGAUGUGAAAGCCCUCGGCUUAACCGAGGAACUGCAUCGGAAACUGUUUUUCUUGAGUGCAGAAGAGGAGAGUGGAAUUCCAUGUGUAGCGGUGGAAUGCGUAGAUAUAUGGAAGAACACCAGUGGCGAAGGCGACUCUCUGGUCUGCAACUGACGCUGAGGCGCGAAAGCGUGGGGAGCAAACAGGAUUAGAUACCCUGGUAGUCCACGCUGUAAACGAUGGAUACUAGGUGUGGGGGGUCUGACCCCCUCCGUGCCGCAGUUAACACAAUAAGUAUCCCCACCUGGGGAGUACGAUCGCAAGGUUGAAACUCAAAGGAAUUGAC